UACGUAGGGCGCAAGCGUUAUCCGGAAUUAUUGGGCGUAAAGAGCUCGUAGGCGGUUUGUCGCGUCUGCCGUGAAAGUCCGGGGCUCAACUCCGGAUCUGCGGUGGGUACGGGCAGACUAGAGUGAUGUAGGGGAGACUGGAAUUCCUGGUGUAGCGGUGAAAUGCGUAGAUAUCUGGAGGAAUACCGGUGGCGAAGGCGGCAUCCUGGACCGGCAUUGACGCUGAGGAGCGAAAGCCAGGGGAGCAAACGGG
rnacentral:rRNA from 1 species